rnacentral:rRNA from 1 species
GCAUAUCAAUAAGCGGAGGAAAAGAAACCAACAGGGAUUGCCUCAGUAACGGCGAGUGAAGCGGCAACAGCCCCAGAUUUGAAAUCUGGCCCUCGGGCCCGACUUGUAAUCUGCAGAUGGAUUUUCCGGCGAGGCGUGCGUCCAAGUGCCCUGGAAUGGGCCGCCGCAGAGGGUGAGAGCCCCGUACUGGCGCGCGCCGAGCCUCCGUGAAACCCAUUCGACGAGUCGAGUAGUUUGGAAAUGCUGCUCUAAUUGUGGGGUAAAUCUCCCAUAAGGCUAAAUAUCGGCCGGAGACCGAUAGCGCACAAGUAGCGUGAGCGAAAGAUGAAAAGAGCCUUGGAUAAGGGCGUCAAACAGUAUGUGAAAUUGUUGUGGGGGAAGCGCUCGUCGCCAGACGUGGCGGCGGCUGGUUACCCGGCGUCCUCGCCGGCGCACUCUGCCCGCCGCCAGGCCAGCACCGGCUCGGGCCGGGGCCCAAUGCGCGCGGGAACGUGGCUCCCUCCGGGGAGUGUUAUAGCCCACGCGCGACGCCCUGGGCCGGGCCGAGGACCGCGCAUCCGCUCGGAUGCUGGCUUAAUGGCGCCUAGCGACCCGUCUUGAAACACGGACCAAGGAGUUGACCUGGCGCGCGAGUGUUCGGGUGUCAAGCCCCUACGCGUAGUGAAAGCGAACGCAGGUGGGAGCCCUUUUGGGCGCACCAUCGACCGAUCCUGAAGCUCGCAGAUGGAUUUGAGUAGGAGCGCGCCGGGUCUGACCCGAAAGAAGGUGAACUAUGCAUGAAUAGGGUGAAGCCAGAGGAAACUCUGGUGGAGGCUCGCAGCGGUUCUGACGUGCAAAUCGAUCGUCAAAUUUGUGCAUGGGGGCGAAAGACCAAUCGAACCUUCUAGUAGCUGGUUCCUACCGA